AUUUUUACAAAGUACAUAGGUGCCCUUUAUAGGGAUAAUAGGGAAGCUCGGUGAAAAUCCAGCACAGCCCCCGCUACUGUAAAUACUACUGGUAAAUUAUUAUGCCACUAUUGAGCACUCAAUAUUACCAAUAUUUUAUAAAUAUCUAUAGAUAGAUAAAUAUUGAUGAUAUUGAAUGUUAGAUGGGAAGGCAAUUUAUCGGGAUGAUGUAUGAGUCAGGAAACCUGCCUAUAUAUUUAUAUUUAA
rnacentral:ncRNA from 2 species